AGUCGGGAAUUUUGCUCAAUGGGGGAAACCCUGAAGCAGCAACGCCGCGUGAGGGAUGAAGGCCUUCGGGUUGUAAACCUCUUUUGUCAGGGACGAUGAUGACGGUACCUGGCGAAUAAGCCACGGCUAACUACGUGCCAGCAGCCGCGGUAAUACGUAGGUGGCAAGCGUUGUCCGGAUUUACUGGGCGUAAAGAGCGCGCAGGCGGUCUUGUAAGUCGAAUGUGAAAGCCCCUGGCUCAACCAGGGAGGGUCAUUCGAUACUGCUUGACUCGAAGGCAGGAGAGGGAAGUGGAAUUCCGGGUGUAGUGGUGAAAUGCGUAGAUAUCCGGAGGAACACCAGUGGCGAAGGCGACUUUCUGGCCUGUUCUUGACGCUGAGGCGCGAAAGCUAGGGGAGCAAA
rnacentral:rRNA from 1 species